GCCGCUAUGGUGAAAUCGGUAGAC
rnacentral:tRNA from 57 species